UAGCACGGGAGGACGUUAUUUUGCCCGUGUGAUUGCGAGUGAGAUCUCGCGCGUGAGUUGAGCGCGUGAGCCGCGUGCGUGAGUUGAGCGCGUGAGCCGCGUGCGUGAGUUGAGCGCGUGAGCCGCGUGCGUGCCGAUGGCUCGCUGUGUUUACAGCGGGACAGGCGGGAGGAGGAGGAGGAGGGGGCGUGCAAGCUGAACGCGUCGUCGCCGUCGUGGUCUCGCGCUCGCGACGGCAGCAGCAGCUGGGAGUGAUCCUGGCUGGGAACGGUGGAGCGUUUUGCGCAAACAGCUGCGGAGCGGAGGUGACGUGAUGGCCCACACAUUCGAUUGCGCGGUGCCAAUGCCGGAGCUGCGUCGAACACGCAACGGAGUUCACGUGCGGAAUGUCCUUUCCAUCGACGUGGAAAAAAGGUAAGUUGCCGACUGAAAAAGGGAUCUUUAUCCACCCACGCAUGCCUCACGGUGAUGGAUCGGGACGCCCACAUGGCCCUUAUUCCACCGAGCGGAGUCAAUAAAGUCCUCGCGGCCGCCCCAUUCAUCUUGGCGCUGGGAACAGCCAGUCCUGCGCCCAUAAAUACUGGGCCGUAAGCAGCUUUGUAAAUAAUUAACCGAGAGCCCGAAGGAAACGGCGCAGGAUAAAUAGGCGGGGACUCAAAGCCAUGCACAGAGCUGGGAUAACAGAUGGAUACCUUCAGGAAGUUCUUUAAUUCUUUCAUUAAAAAAAAACAUUCCUUAGAUCUACCAACCUCCAGGUUGCAAAUCUAGAGUGGAGGAAAAGUGCCAGGAGUUACACAGGACUACCUAAACAAUUAUGCUGGUAGCUAGAGAGGCUUUAAAUUGCACAAUGCCCAGCCACGUACAGAUAUAUUUUUGCAACUCCCCCACCACCCAUCCUUUUGCUUUUUAGAAACGCUUUUCUGUUUUGCGUGUAUUUAAUCAUAACGUUAAUUACGUCUGCAAUGGUGUCUAAGUGGAUUAUGAAUGAAGCUAAUGUGGCAUAUUUUAACUGUGAGUUUAAUGGUGUGCGUAAGCUGUUGUUCACUGCUCUGUGAUGACACACGGACGCACAGAAGCCAAAAGGAGGAGACGGUGGUUGUAUCCUUCUCGUGAUGCCUCGCAGGGUUGAUGGCUCAUGAUUGAUGAUCACCAAUGGCUUGAUGAGUUCAAAGUUCAAAGGCAAGAUACCACCAUCUCCGAAGCUCACCCGGCCUAUUGAUAGGAAAGAUCGUUUAAAUAUAUAAGGUAUACUCAGAAUACAUAACUGAAGAUUAGUAUUUGAAUUUUACAAAACUGAGAUUUUUUUACUUAAAAACUUUAAUCUCUGUGUAUUAGGUGAGCAAUGGGAUAUUAUGCGUUUUAUUCCUCUAUGUGACAUGGCUCUACGAUUUAUUAAGCAUCUUUACUUUUAAGAACAUGUGUGCAUCUGUACAAAUCACGGCAUACUAAGAACACCCUGCAGAGCACAUGUCUUCACAGUGGUUUCACUAAUGUAAAAGUAUGUGUGUGUCUAUAUAUAAACAUAAGUCUUUUAUAAAGCAGAUUUCACAGGAGUCUAAAUCUAGACGUACUUGCCCUGUCGAACAAAGGGACACGUGGUGCCUUCCACUGUGGUUGAGAUACAACUAAAGCCACACCUCCUGUCCCCCCCUCUGCCUCAACCCUUCCCCACAAUACAGCCCCUCCUCCACAGCCUCCUGUAUUUCCACUAAACCUGCCCACCCACUGGCUACCUAUCACCCCCCUACCCAUCUACCCAAUGCCUACACCCCCCCCCCCCCCCCAGCUUCCUUCGCCCCCCUCCAUCCGUCUCCCUCUCCGGCUGGAACUUGCUGAUUAAGCUUCUGUCUGAGCCGCUGCAAAUCCCACGCUGAGAGGCAGGAAGGAGGAUUACGUAGGGUCCCCCUGCUUUAUUAAUGCUGAAUGCUUCAUUUGUUUCACACUGCCGCAAGAUAGCUACGGAGGAGGGAGGCAGCACCGAGGCUUGGGUGCAUUCAUUUGUCUCGUGCACGCAGUCUCGCGACAAUGAAAUGUUUUGCUUGCACUCGUGCAUCAUAAAGUGGCAGCCGCGAUUAAUUGUAACUUUGUGGCCCAACAAAUAAUGUUUUAAGUUAAGGUGACUAUUGUUUUGUUAUUUGUGUGUCUAUGUGUGGAUUAGCACAUGGAGUAUGUUCGUACUGGACAGUAUCUCUGCUAGGUGUCCUGAGCCAUUGUUUUAAAUUCUACAUGGGAACUAGUGGUGCAGCCUCACACUGAGAAUGAUCCUUUUAACGACCUUACAGAUUUUAUAGGUUGAGUCAAACCUGCAUAGGAUUUCAAAUAAUUUUACAAAGAUCUCAAAGCUCUUAAUUAGCAACAAAGCUGUAUCCCACCAUUAAAAUAGUAAUUAUAAUAAUUGUCGGUAGCACUUUGCCAGUUCAAUACUGGAUUAAGCACCCCCCCCCCCCCCCACUGUGAUGGUCAAGGGGUUGUUUGACCACAGUUCACUCCACUUACUGUAUCACUGUGGCGGGGGUGUAAUGGGGGUUUGGGUGGCCAAGAUCAGUUCAAACAUCACUUGCCACUCGUGUUAUGCAGAGCAAGGAAUUAAACCCGGGUCACGGGGCUUAUAGAGCAGUAUGCUAACCACAUCCAGUUCAAAAUGUUAUUGAUGCUAUAUAUAUGAAUAUCCUGGAUACGCACUUGCAUACACACACACACGUGUAAUUAUUUAUUUUAGCCCACCCUACCAUAAAAUAUAUGGUGUAUUGUGGCGUCAACCUCGAUGGCUUUAUCACUGACAUGCAUGAAAAAUUCCCCAUAGGAAAAUUAAACGUUUCGUUUUUUAGAUAAAUAAAAUUGCACAAUGUCAUUGCCUUAGCAAAAUAUAAUUAGAACGUAAUGUUUUAAUGUGCACACUCCCAAAACUAACAAUUUCAAGCAUGUUUAUGGAAAAUAUAUUACACUGGUACAGUUGAGACUUUGUUUUGUUGUAUUACAAACCCCCUGUCUAUUAGUUUUUAGUAGAUUUUAACUCGGAACUAAUUUUUGUUGAAAGGAAAAAAUAAUGUUUUAAUUGAAACGUUAACUUACUCAAAACAUUAAUAAAACACUCAAAGAGUUAGUUUAGUCUCAAGAGGAGCAUUUAUUCCACCCCGCCCAUUGCUUUAAGUGGCUAAAAUAUUACAAGAAAAAAAGCAAAAAAAAUGUUUGUUGGCAUAUAAUUAAAUAAAUGCCCCAUAGUGUAUCCCCCCCAGUAGGUGUUUAUAUAUCAACGUGAAUUAAAACAGCAUUCUCGGUAAUUUUGAAAGCUUUAUUCAUCCAGAAACUAUAUCAGUUACAUGAAGAAUUAUAUCACAGUUUUAUAUUUAUUAUUGUUAUAAGGGCAUUGUGUUGUCAUGACGUAUGUUGUGGGUCUUGCGAGAGCUGAUCAUUUUCAGAGAUUUCUGACGUCACGUGGGCGUAUUCCAUGGAAAUAAUUACGUCCUGCCGGUAAGGCAGCCAGAGUUGGCCUGUUUAUUUAAAUGGUGACAUUUCAGCCCAGAUAAGGGUUUGGCCCGAUGCGUUUGAAGGCUGCAUUUUAAUUGCGACUUUCUCUAACGAUGAAUCAAGGCCGCUCGAAAUUGCAACUGAAGAACGCGCUGAUGAGACAGUUGAUUGACAGUUACGCACAGCGCUCGCGAUUGCUCUGGAUAUUAAUCAUCCCAUCAUCCCAUGACGACAUCACCGUCGGCCUGGGAUUCCAAGCACCGAAAUAGCAGUCAGUGCGCUCGUACACACGGUUUAAAUGUACCGUUACGUGAAACGAUUGCGAUACUAUUCGCAAGCAACAUGGUGGCCUUUGGAAGGGGCCUUCAGGUUGCAUGUGCAUUACACUACAUAUAUUAUGCUACGUGUAAAUGAGACAUACUUGGGUGUAACAGAUGCAAAGCACUCUAAACGGCUUAUUUAAAUUCUUCUUCCCAACAUGUUUGGACAUGCUGGUACACUUACACAGUAGCCAUGAGUUAUUCAUCAGAGGGUAUUAGAGGACAAUCCACUACACUCGGUUGACUUAUAAAAGCAAUGACACCUUGUUACAAUAAGCCAAUAGCAUCACGUGUUGAGCUCCAACCUAUGACACCGGCUGAGUCUAGCACUGAGGUGACAAUCGAACAGGAAGCAGAUACCACCACUGUGAUAUUCCAUUUGCUAUGAUGCUAUUGUAUAUUUCUUCAUGAAUACUAUUUGACCUCCCUGCGAGGAAACUUUCGGGGCAUUUUUUGACAAAUCUCCUCGACCACCUUUGUCCACCGAGCAGUAGAAAUGGGCAACACCUCAGUCAAUCGGCAGGUCACGUGCGAGCUCGUAACGGGUGGGUUACUUCCACCUCUUCCAAGACAUCUAGUCAGCGUGCAAGAGUAGGUCGAAAUAUUCUAGCGGGGCCCUUUAGAGCUCCCUCGAGGGGAGACCUUUUCGGCUGCAGCUGUACCUUUGAACAUCUGGCCUGGUGGCACUGUCAGCGUUUUCCAUUCAGUGGCUGGUCUCUGCCAUGAGAAUGUGGAAUUUUCCAUCAACGGCUCAGGGUUACCAAUGGAGACGCUCGCUGCCACAAUGUACGACUGAACGAGGAGACGCACCCGCAAUUGAACUUAUUUUGAAUUUUGAAACGUCUGCGUACAUGAAAAGUAUAAAAUGCCAUAGGUAAAAAAAUCAAACACUUGGAAUAACCUGUGUCCUGUAUUUGAAUGUCACGACUGUACACGUGAAUGGAAAUAUCUUAAGGUGAGAGAAAUGUUUACAUGUUAAGUUACUUUACGCUUGACUCUUAAAAUUAAACAUCCUGCUCCAUAACUUACGGCCUAGCGGUUUGUCAAGCCUCCUUAGAGCUUUGUUAUGGUAACCCACUCCCUUUGUGUUCACGUUGUAAAAAAAAAAGCACAGAUUUAAAAUAAAUAAAGGAAAUUGGUAAAAAUAAACAUGUUUUAAGCACUGGAAUUGACAAAUAAGUAAAUGCUGAUGAAUUAACUUUUCACUGUGUGUGUUUUGCUCUCACGGGCCCCAGGUUUUGCUGAGUCCCCUAACUAAAGACGUUGCCAACAAAAACUACAAACGGCAUUCGCCGAACACGCAAGGGUGAAUAAAGGCAUGCAAUGUCUCACACACACACACACACCUCCGCAUAUCAGGCAUUUGUUGAAAUAAUCGUGGUUCAGUGCAAAGCAAUGUAAUUCAGGUGUUGUUUUUUUUUUACCGUUGCCAACAUUUCAGUUACGUGUUCAACACAAUAGUUAGCACACUGGGCUUGAAAUCCAAAAGUCAUUGGUUCAAAUAAAUCUCCGGGUGCGGCAGUUUAAACCAUGGGCACGUUUCUGAAAUGCCUCUGCUCAGUCCACGCAGCAGUAUAAACAGGUACGACCACAGUUCGUCGGUCGGCAGCUCGCGUCUGGUGCGGUCAAGUUUGGGUACUCCAAACUCUUCCAAAACGUUUUGUCAGAGUGAAAGAAUUGGCCACAAUAUCGUCGAGAGGAGGACCAUCCGCUAGCAGUGACAUGAGCACGAAUUUUAACGGUUGCAUUUCUACCUUUGGUGUGCCACGGUGGCGAGAUUGUAACAACCGCGCCUGUGAUGAAGGAGGUUGUGGGUUCGAUCCUCGACGCUGACACCUGUAUAUUUGGAGUCUGCGUGUCUGUUUCUCCCCCGUG